rnacentral:lncRNA from 1 species
AGAUAUGGAAAACAGAAGCUAAACAAACACACACACACACCCCUCACACACUGGCUCUAGUGAGAAAACAUUUCUACUGAUGAAGUCAGGCACGUCAGCCUCAUUUUCAUUUUCUCACAGCUGGCGCUGGCGUGAGCUGGGUCUUCACAUUAGCCAUCAGAUAGGCCCAAGACAGAAUAUUUAAGUAGAUAAGCAAGUCAGUAAGCAAGCCUGGGUAAAAUCAGGAUUUCUAUUACAAGG